UACGUAGGGGGCAAGCGUUGUCCGGAAUUAUUGGGCGUAAAGCGCGCGCAGGCGGUUCAUUAAGUCUGGUGUUUAAGGCUGGGGCUCAACCCUGGUUCGCACUGGAAACUGGUGGACUUGAGUGCAGAAGAGGAAAGUGGAAUUCCACGUGUAGCGGUGAAAUGCGUAGAGAUGUGGAGGAACACCAGUGGCGAAGGCGACUUUCUGGGCUGUAACUGACGCUGAGGCGCGAAAGCGUGGGGAGCAAACAGG
rnacentral:rRNA from 2 species